UGUUUCGGCUAGGGGGCCAUCCCGGCUUACCAACCCGAUGCAAACUGCGAAUACCGGAGAAUGUUAUCACGGGAGACACACGGCGGGUGCUAACGUCCGUCGUGAAGAGGGAAACAACCCAGACCGCCAGCUAAGGUCCCAAAGUCAUGGUUAAGUGGGAAACGAUGUGGGAAGGCCCAGACAGCCAGGAUGUUGGCUUAGAAGCAGCCAUCAUUUAAAGAAAGCGUAAUAGCUCACUGGUCGAGUCGGCCUGCGCGGAAGAUGUAACGGGGCUAAACCAUGCACCGAAGCUGCGGCAGCGAACGUAUCACCCAAGACAACUUUGCGGAGUUGACGAUUGACGGAGCGAAGCGACGUCAAAGCGUUCAUUAAAGUCGAGUUGGCUUAGGGAUACGUUCGUUGGGUAGGGGAGCGUUCUGUAAGCCAGUGAAGGUGUGUCGUGAGGCAUGCUGGAGGUAUCAGAAGUGCGAAUGCUGACAUAAGUAACGAUAAAGCGGGUGAAAAGCCCGCUCGCCGGAAGACCAAGGGUUCCUGUCCAACGUUAAUCGGGGCAGGGUGAGUCGACCCCUAAGGCGAGGCCGAAAGGCGUAGUCGAUGGGAAACGGGUUAAUAUUCCCGUACUUGGUGUUACUGCGAAGGGGGGACGGAGAAGGCUAUGUUGGCCGGGCGACGGUUGUCCCGGUUUAAGCGUGUAGGUGUGUGUUCCAGGUAAAUCCGGUUCACUUUAACACUGAGGCGUGAUGA
rnacentral:rRNA from 1 species